rnacentral:rRNA from 1 species
CGGGGACCUUCGGGUCUUACGUGGCGCACGGGUGAGUAACGCGUGGGAAUCUACCCCAAAGUCGGGGAUAACCGCUGGAAACGGCGGCUAAUACCGGAUACGCCCUCUUGGGGCAAAGCUUUUGCGCUUUGGGAGGAGCCCGCGUCCGAUUAGCUGGUUGGUGGGGUAAAGGCCUACCAAGGCUGCGAUCGGUAGCUGGUCUGAGAGGAUGAUCAGCCACGCUGGGACUGAGACACGGCCCAGACUCCUACGGGAGGCAGCAGUGGGGAAUCUUGGACAAUGGGGGCAACCCUGAUCCAGCCAUGCCGCGUGGGUGAAGAAGGCCUUAGGGUUGUAAAGCCCUUUCGGCGGGGAAGAUGAUGACGGUACCCGCAGAAGAAGCCCCGGCUAACUCCGUGCCAGCAGCCGCGGUAAUACGGAGGGGGCUAGCGUUGUUCGGAAUCACUGGGCGUAAAGGGCGCGUAGGCGGACCACCAAGUCAGGGGUGAAAGCCCUGGGCUCAACCUAGGAAGUGCCCUUGAAACUGAUGGUCUUGAGUCCGGGAGAGGAGAGCGGAAUUCCCAGUGUAGAGGUGAAAUUCGUAGAUAUUGGGAAGAACACCGGUGGCGAAGGCGGCUCUCUGGACCGGCACUGACGCUGAGGCGCGAAAGCGUGGGAGCAAACAGGAUUAGAUACCCUGGUAGUCCACGCCGUAACGAUGUGCGCUAGCCGUUGGGCACCGAGUUGUUCAGUGGCGCACCCACGCAUUAAGCGCACCGCCUGGAGAGUACGGCGCAGGCUAAACUCAAGGAUUGACGGGGCCCGCUCAGCGUGAGCAUGUGUUUAGUCGAGCACUCGAUAACUUACAGCCUUGACUGUCCUCCCUGCCUCGGAGACGAGGCUUCAGUCGCUCGUGGAUCACGUGCUGAUAGCUGUCGUCACUUCUGUCCUGAGAUUUGUUUAAUCCGCACUAGGCACAUGA